CAGCAGCCGCGGUAAUACAGAGGAUGCAAGCGUUAUCCGGAAUCACUGGGCAUAAAGCGUCUGUAGGUGGUUUGGUAAGUCUGCUGUUAAAGACUGGGGCUCAACCCCAGAAAAGCAGUGGAAACUGCCAGACUUGAGUGUGGUAGAGGUAGAGGGAAUUCCUAGUGUAGCGGUGAAAUGCGUAGAUAUUAGGAAGAACACCAAUGGCGAAGGCACUCUACUGGACCAUAACUGACACUGAGAGACGACAGCUAGGGGAGCAAAUGGGAUUAGAUACCCCAGUAGUCCUAGCCGUAAACGAUGGAUACUAGAUGUUGCACGUAUUAACCCGUGCAGUAUCGUAGCUAAGGCGUUAAGUAUCCCGCCUGGGAAGUACGCUCGCAAGAGUGAAACUCAAAUGAAUUGACGG
rnacentral:rRNA from 1 species